rnacentral:rRNA from 1 species
GACGAACGCUGGCGGCAGGCCUAACACAUGCAAGUCGGGCGAGCGGCGGACGGGUGCGUAAUGUAUGGGGAUCUGCCUUAUGGAGGGGGAUACCUACUGGAAACGGUAGCUAAUACCGCAUACCAUCAGAUGAACCCAUAUGGGAUUAGCUAGGAGGUGCGGUAACGGCUUACCUAGGCGACGAUCCCUAGCUGGUCUGAGAGGAUGAUCAGCCACACUGGGACUGAGACACGGCCCAGACUCCUACGGGAGGCAGCAGUGGGGGAUAUUGCACAAUGGGCGAAAGCCUGAUGCAGCGACGCCGCGUGGGGGAUGAAGGCUUUCGGGUUGUAAACCUCUUUCGCUAUCGAACGGGUAGGUGGAGAAGAAGCGCCGGCUAACUACGUGCCAGCAGCCGCGGUAAUUC